GCCAGAUGUGAUAGCAUGUGCCUGUAAUCCCAGCUAUUCAGGAGGCUGAGGCAGGAGGAUCGCUCGAGCCCUGGAGUUCUGGGCUGUAGUGCACUAUGUGGAUCGACUGUCCGCACUCAGUUUGGCAUCAAUAUGGGAGCAAGGGACCACCAGGUUGCCUAAAGAUGGGCGAACUGGUCCCGGUCGAAAAUGAAGCAGGUCAAAACUUCUAUGCUGAUCAGUAACAGGAUUGUGCCUAUGAAUAACCACUGCACUCAAGCCUGGGCAACAUAGCGAGACUCUGGUCUCUU
rfam:Pan troglodytes isolate Yerkes chimp pedigree #C0471 (Clint) chromosome 5, whole genome shotgun sequence.